UGGGGAAUAUUGGACAAUGGGCGAAAGCCUGAUCCAGCCAUGCCGCGUGUGUGAAGAAGGUCUUCGGAUUGUAAAGCACUUUAAGUUGGGAGGAAGGGCAGUAAGCGAAUACCUUGCUGCUUUGACGUUACCGACAGAAUAAGCACCGGCUAACUCUGUGCCAGCAGCCGCGGUAAUACAGAGGGUGCAAGCGUUAAUCGGAAUUACUGGGCGUAAAGCGCGCGUAGGUGGUUCGUUAAGUUGAAUGUGAAAGCCCCGGGCUCAACCUGGGAGCUGCAUCCAAAACUGGCGAGCUAGAGUAGGGCAGAGGGUGGUGGAAUUUCCUGUGUAGCGGUGAAAUGCGUAGAUAUAGGAAGGGACACCAGUGGCGAAGGCGACCACCUGGGCUCAUACUGACACUGAGGUGCGAAAGCGUGGGGAGCAAACAGG
rnacentral:rRNA from 1 species